AUUGAACGCUGGCGGCAGGCCUAACACAUGCAAGUCGAACGAGUGGCGGACGGGUGAGUAAUGUCUGGGACACUGCCUGAUGGCGGGGGUUAACUACUGGAAACGGUACCUAAUACCGCAUACCAUCAUAUGUUCCCUGAUGGGAUUAGCUUGUUGGUGGGGUAACGGCUCACCAAGGCGACGAUCCGUAGCUGGUCUGAGAGGAGGACCAGCCACACUGGAACUGAGACACGGUCCAGACUCCGACGGGAGGCAGCAGUGGGGAAUAUUGCACAAUUGGCGCAAGCCUUAUGCAGCCAUGCCGCGGGUAUGAAGAAGGCCUUCGGGUUGUAAAGUACUUUUAGCGGGGAGGCGUUACCCGAAGAGGAAGCACCGGCUAACUCCGUGCCAGCAGCCGCGGUAAGAC
rnacentral:rRNA from 1 species